UACGGGGGGGGCAAGCGUUGUUCGGAAUUACUGGGCGUAAAGGGCUCGUAGGCGGCCAACUAAGUCAGACGUGAAAUCCCUCGUCUUAACCGGGGAACUGCGUCUGAUACUGGAUGGCUUGAGUGUGGGAGAGGGAUGCAGAAUUCCAGGUGUAGCGGUGAAAUGCGUAGAUAUCUGGAGGAAUACCGGUGGCGAAGGCGGCAUCCUGGACCGGGAUUGACACUGGGGAGCGAAAGCUAGGGGAGCAAACGGG
rnacentral:rRNA from 1 species